rnacentral:rRNA from 1 species
UUGCAAUCCAGUUCGGUGACCCAGUUACGCAUUAAGCAAUCCGCCUGGGAAGUCCGGUCGCAAGAUUCAAACUCAAAGGAAUUGACGGGGGGCCGGCACAAAGCGGUGAAGCAAUGUGGUUUAAUUCGAAGCAACGCGCAGAACCUUACCACCUUUUUGACAUGCCUGGACCGCCACGGAGACGUGGCUUUCCCUUCGGGACUGGACACAGGUGCUGCAUGGCUGUCGUCAGCUCGUGUCGUGAGAUGUUGGGUUAAGUCCCGCAACGAGCGCAACCUUCGCCAUUAGUUGCCAUCAUUCAGUUGGGAACUCUAAUGGGACUGCCGGUGCUAAGCCGGAGAAGGUGGGGAUGACGUCAAGUCCUUCAUGGCCCUUACAGGGUGGGCUACACACGUGCUACAAUGGCAACU